UUCGGGUUGCAAAACGGCUUGGGUUGCAAAAUGGUAGUGUGCGUGUGCAUAUAUAAGGGGAGAGGGAAUUAAAAUAUCAGAGUAAAAAUUUUCGUUCUGGAACAUACAAUUGAUGUUAAUUUGCAAGUAGUCGCUGAGAAUAUUCAAACAAGAAGCCAAAAAGCAAAAAGAUGAUCAUCAAGAGAAUGGCAUCUACAUAUUACAGCCUUAUUAUUUGCAUGCGGGCCUCGGGCAAAUUAAUACAAAGAGAAGGCUCCAAAACAAGGGAUUGACCAGUCGAUUCUUGAUCACCAUGCACCAUAAAGCCAGCGUCACUGCCACAACCACCUAUGAUUAUGAUCUCAAGUUUUAGUGCUUUUGGAAAGUGUGUGUGGACGUGGGUCGAACAACACAGUACACAACAAUGCAAGAAAAUGCAGCCAAGCAAAAUUUAUAAUCGACUUGCCGUGCGAGACGAGUGAACAGCGAGCUGCGACAGCAUGGCUGUGGACGAUUUGCUGUGCGGGCGAGUGAUGACGGCAGGCUAAUAGCAAAGGAGCAGUCAUGGCUCGUGUGAGAGAGCCGAGACGAAAUUGGACGGUGAGGACGUGACGCGUGAGGCAGUGGUGUGUUGGCGUGGUGCAGCGACGUCGACGUGGAGCGGUAGAGAAACUGCCGGCCGGGAUCGAUUUUGGUUAGGGUUUGGGAAUUGGGAUUUUGGGCAGGUUGUUAGAAUCGGGUUUGUGAGUACUGAGAAAUUCAAUUGGUUAUGAGGUAAUUGGAAAUAUAGCAAUGGUUAAACGGGUUUGGGAAUUGGGUUUUUGGAUUUUUUUUUUUAAAAGAGUUAAAAACCGAUCGGUUUGGAAAUGACCCGAACGGGAUUUCAAAACCGAUCGGUUUGGAAAUGACCCGAACGGGAUUUCAAAACCGAUCGGGUCCGAGGAUAUAAUCCGUUCGGGUUUUAUCCACUUGAUUUUAAGCCAGGCCGUUUACCAAUUAUAACUAUCCAAUCUUUAUGCUCAUUAAUUAUUUGGUACUUUGUUGAAAGGUAUUAAUAUAAGCCAUAAGGCUACCACCUAUGCCCGUCAUCUUCUUGUAGAAGUCAG
rnacentral:lncRNA from 1 species